AAUUGGCUGUAUUUUAGCUCCUGGAUUCUGUUUCGUUUCCUUCUGAAAUUUGGGAUUGUUCAGCUUGGACUGCAGUCACUCUGAUAGAUACGAGGACUUGGCAAGCACUCGCAGGUUUACAGUCUCAUAGCUUUGAAGUUUCAGGAAUUUCCUAGUCACAAAUAGUGAUGGAGCAGAAUCCUCUACAUGCAAGCACACACCUAAGCAAAUCUCAAGAUAAACAAACAAUGGUCUUCAUUAUAGAACAGAAAGUCACUGUGCAUUUAGAAAAGGGUGGAGUUGGGAUGACUGAAUGGAGCUGAGCAUUUACUGGCCAGAUGCUCUUCAUGACACCUAUAUGAAGUUCACAGUAGAUAUUUUCUCAUUGUACACUGCUAGAGAAACAUCUAUUGCUGCCUAGAUUUGAACUCUCAACCUUACAAGUGGAAGGCAAACAUCUUCA